rnacentral:lncRNA from 1 species
GCUUUCAAAUGACUAUAAGAACAUAAAAUUUGAAGAUCAGAUGCGAUCUGGAGAGUCUCCCGAACUUCAUGCUGACGUUGGUGCUCGAGGGUAAAGUCGGAAAAACACAUGCAAACGUGUCUAAGUCGUGUUUCCUAGGGUUUUUAGCCCCAAAAUCAUAUAUAUACUUGGGGAGCACGCCGUUCUAAACAGAAAAAAGGCUGCAUUACAAAGAAAUCAUCAAGAGGAGCCAAAAAUUCAUGGAGAGCUAAUUCUUUGGUGAAGCUAGGGAUGAACUCGCUUGGAUGAUGGUAGUUUCAUUUAUAUUUGAUCUAUGUAAUAGAUUCUCAU